GCUGGGGUAGGGGCGGGAGGGGACGGGGUGGGCACCGGCCAUGUCGGAGGUGACCCGGAGUCUGCUGCAGCGCUGGGGCGCCAGUUUUAGGAGAGGCGCCGACUUCGACUCUUGGGGCCAGCUGGUGGAGGCGAUAGACGAGUAUCAGAUAUUAGCAAGACAUCAACAAAAGAGGCCCAAGCUCAACACAAUAAUUCUGAAUUCACAGAAGAACGAAAGAAAACCAUAGGCAAAAUUGCAACAUGUUUGGAAUUACGAAGUGCAGCUUUACAGUCCACACAGUCUCAAGAAGAAUUUAAACUGGAGGACCUGAAGAAGCUAGAACCAAUCCUAAAGAAUAUUCUUACGUAUAAUAAGGAAUUCCCAUUUGACGUUCAGCCUGUCCCCUUAAGAAGAAUUUUAGCACCUGGUGAAGAAGAGAAUUUGGAAUUUGAAGAAGAAGAAGAAGAGGGUGGUGCUGGAGCAGGGUCUCCUGAUUCCUUUCCUGCUAGAGUUCACGGCACUUUACUACCCAGGCUGCCGUCAGAGCCAGGAAUGACGCCACUCACCAUCAGAAUUGAGAAAAUCGGUCUGAAGGAUGCGGGGCAGUGCAUCGAUCCCUGUAUCACAGUUAGCGUAAAGGAUCUGAAUGGCAUAGAUUUAACUCCUGUGCAAGAUACUCCUGUGGCUUCAAGAAAAGAAGAUACAUAUGUUCAUUUUAACGUGGACAUUGAGCUCCAGAAGGAUGUUGAAAAAUUAACCAAAGCUGCAGCUAUCUUCUUUGAAUUCGAACACUGCAAGCCUAAAAAAAGGUUCACCAGCACCAAGUGCUUUGCUUUCAUGGAGAUGGAUGAAAUUAAAGCCGGGCCGAUUGUAAUAAGACUAUACAAGAAACCCACUGACUUUAAAAGAAAGAAAUUGCAGUUAUUGACCAAGAAACCACUUUAUCUUCAUCUACAUCAGACUUUGCACAAGGAAUGAUCCUGACAUGAGUCACCUGGAACAUCUGUGAAUUCUCCCACCCAGUAGCAACCCUCCCGGCUCUGUGUAGCGCAUCCCCCCUCUGCCAGGCAGGUGGCAGGCCUCACGGGCGCCGGCAGGCCAGAGCGAGCCCGCGGGAUUCACAGCCCAGCACGCCACUGACCUAGACGACUCCUUUGGAUACGGGCUUAUUGUAGUUUUGAAACAUGUUUUUACUUUUAUA